rnacentral:rRNA from 1 species
ACAGAGGGUGCGAGCGUUGUCCGGAAUCACUGGGCGUAAAGGGCGCGUAGGCGGUCUCUUAAGCGUGUGGUGAAAGCCCGGGGCUCAACUCCGGGUCGGCCGUGCGAACUGGGGGACUGGAGCUUGUCAGAGGCAGGCGGAAUUCCGGGUGUAGCGGUGGAAUGCGUAGAGAUCCGGAAGAACACCGGUGGCGAAGGCGGCCUGCUGGGACAGUGCUGACGCUGAGGCGCGACAGCGUGGGGAGCAAACAGGA